rnacentral:misc_RNA from 1 species
GGAAGUAAAAGUCUAACAAGGUUUCCGUAGGUGAACCUGCGGAAGGAUCAUUACAGAGUUCAUGCCCUCACGGGUAGAUCUCCCACCCUUGAAUAUUUAUACCUUAGUUGCUUUGGCAGGCCGUGGAAACACCAUGGGCUCCGGCUUAUGCGUGCCUGCCAGAGGAAACAAACUCUGUUUUUAGUGAUGUCUGAGUACUAUAUAAUAGUUAAAACUUUCAACAACGGAUCUCUUGGUUCUG